UACGGGGGGGGCAAGCGUUGUUCGGAAUUACUGGGCGUAAAGGGCGCGUAGGCGGCCUUCUAAGUCGAACGUGAAAUCCCUGGGCUCAACCCAGGAACUGCGUCCGAUACUGGAAGGCUUGAAUCCGGGAGAGGGAUGCGGAAUUCCAGGUGUAGCGGUGAAAUGCGUAGAUAUCUGGAGGAACACCGGUGGCGAAGGCGACAUCCUGGACCGGUAUUGACGCUGAGGCGCGAAAGCCAGGGGAGCAAACGGG
rnacentral:rRNA from 1 species